rnacentral:lncRNA from 1 species
CACAGACGCAGUGGAUGUCUUUGGCAUCUUUUAUUGUAUGACAACACGGGCUCUCUAGUGGCGGGUACCGGUCACCAAGGCUCUUUUCGAUGUUAUGCCAACAGUCUCGCAUCACCAUUUUUUGUCAAGGAGGCAAUGGUCUACCUGGUUGACUUCUCGUGCAUAGCACGAACAAGAAGAGAGACCGACAAGGACUAGGAAGCAUACUCCGACUAAUUUUGCGUUGUUCAUGUUCUAUGUUGUGUAGUAC